rnacentral:rRNA from 1 species
CGGGUGAGUAACGCGUGGGUAACCUGCCCUGUACAGGGGGAUAACACUUAGAAAUAGGUGCUAAAACCGCAUAAGCGCACAGUACCGCAUGGUACAGUGUGAAAAACUCCGGUGGUACAGGAUGGACCCGCGUCUGAUUAGCUAGUUGGAGGGGUAACGGCCCACCAAGGCGACGAUCAGUAGCCGGCCUGAGAGGGUGAACGGCCACAUUGGGACUGAGACACGGCCCAAACUCCUACGGGAGGCAGCAGUGGGGAAUAUUGCACAAUGGGGGAAACCCUGAUGCAGCGACGCCGCGUGAGUGAAGAAGUAUUUCGGUAUGUAAAGCUCUAUCAGCAGGGAAGAUAAUGACGGUACCUGACUAAGAAGCCCCGGCUAACUACGUG